rnacentral:misc_RNA from 1 species
AAGUCGUAACAAGGUUUCCGUAGGUGAACCUGCGGAAGGAUCAUUAUCGAGUUAGGGUCUUCAUGGCCUGACCUCCAACCCUGUGUUUAUUAUACCACGUUGCUUUGGCGGGCCCGCUCUUCGGGGCCGCCGGGGGUUUUGAUUCACCCUCGGCCUGUGCUCGCCGGUGGCCUUAUUAAAUUCUUUUAACUGUGAUGUCUGAGUCUAAAUAUAAAUCGUUAAAA